rnacentral:rRNA from 1 species
UACGUAGGGUGCAAGCGUUGUCCGGAAUUAUUGGGCGUAAAGAGCUCGUAGGCGGUCUGUCGCGUCUGCUGUGAAAACUCGGGGCUUAACCCCGGCCUGCAGUGGGUACGGGCAGACUAGAGUGCGGUAGGGGAGACUGGAAUUCCUGGUGUAGCGGUGAAAUGCGCAGAGUAUCAGGAGGAACACCGGUGGCGAAGGCGGGUCUCUGGGCCGUAACUGACGCUGAGACGCGAAAGCGUGGGGAGCAAACAGG